CCUCAUGUCUCUAACAUGGUAUAGUCACUAGCAUCCCGAAGAUCUAGUUUAAGUCACAAUAUGAAGUUUCAACAUUUGCUACGCCUAGUGCCCCUUGAUGACACUUAGGCAAUUUGAUGUUCAACAUGUAUUCCAAAUCCCUCAAUGGCCCUAUCCACUAGGUUCUCACAUGUCCUGAGCUCAAUGCCGCUUGAUGACAUUAGCUCUCUAGUUCACAUACCUUCUAAAUGGCAAUCUUGUCAACUUUCAUGUCACAAUAAACUUAGGUUUAAAUGCAUGAGUGCAAUCUUAUUUACAUUAUAGGAGUAUGAAACCACAUCUUGUAUAGAAUGCUAAGUGCAACCAUAGGCCAACCAAGCUACUCUCUACUACAUAGAGGUCCAAAAUUUCAUCAUAUAUAACAUAGGCCUUUUAAGCAUUCUAAAAUUCACAAUAAAUACAUACAAUAAGAAUAUGCAUGCUUUUCCAUUUAACGAUACUUAAUUAAGCACAAAUGAGAAUUUCUCAUUGUGUGGCUAGGUCAAACCCACCGAACCGUCGCGUAGGGCCUCGUUUCGCCGAACAAAGUUGUCCCCGAAUCUCAAAAUACCCUAAAAGUAUUGAGCGACAAGAUACACGGGCAUUACGAUCAUCUUAUAUCAUCAAACAUUAACCUAGAAGCAAAAAGGGACAAAACUCACCUCAAGAGUAGAAAUCUUCUCCUAAGCUCCAAAAGAGAGCUAGAACCCUUCCAAUCCAAGCCCUAGGAAGGUUCUAAACCAACAAAUCAAGCCUCAAAAGCCCUAGGUUCAAAAAGCCCAAAAUAAACCCUAAGUCUCAAAACUAGGGUUUCAUCUCAAAGAAAGCUCUAAAAUCCAAAACUUGAGGAAAGGAUCUUGCCACUUACCUCUUAGAAGCCUCAAAACCAGCUCAAAGUCCUCAAACUUCAAGUGUCUUCCCUGAAUCAAGCUCCAAACCCAAGCUCCAAGCUUCAAAAAUGGUGGAAAUAGCUCCAAUAGGCAAAAGAGAGGGAAAAAUCAUCAAAAUCCAAGCUAGAAUGAGAUCAAAUCCAAAAGGUGGAAAAGAGGGGCUCCUUACCUUGCUCCUCCUCAGGUUCCAGCACCAGGGAGGCCCUAUGGGGCGUGGGUGCUGUUAUAAGAAGCCCACAAUCGCAAAUAAGCCCCUGCAGAACAAACUGUGCAGAAUCUGCCUUCUUGUAUCGGUACACGGGAUCUUGUACCGGUACAAGAGCUACGAAAAUCCAAAACCGAGGCUCGGGUGCGCGGUUCUGCGGCGCUGUACCGGUACAGACCCGAUGGCUGUACCGGUACAACCAUCAACAUUGUACCCGUACAAGACCACCCUUGUACCGGUACAAGCCCGCCAAACAGCCAAUCCGAGAGCUGACCAAAAUCCAAAUUUUUGGGUUUUGGUGCAAGGCUUUGUACCACACUCCUCGGGACACAUGCCAUAGGUCGGAACACAGUCAACGACCUACCAGGAAAUCUAGAAAAGCUCAGAGCACAGCUAAUCACUCGAAUCUCGUAAUUUGCAAAGGUCUAGUGCGUUACAGUUUGCUUAUAACAAUAGUUAUCAAGCAAGCAUCAAGAUGGCACCGUUCGAGGCACUCUAUGGACGGAAGUGUAGAUCGCCACUUCAUUGGAGUGAAGUUGGCGACAGAUUGGCCUUAGGCCCAGAUGUGCUCCAGGAGGUCGAGAACAAGGUUCGCAUUGCUCGAGAGCGACUGUUGACAGCCCAGAGUAGGCAAAAGAGCUAUGUUGAUCGGCGUCGACGAGACUUGGAGUUUCAAGUUGGAGAUCACGUCUUCUUGAAAGUCUCGCCGACUCGAGGGAUUAGAAGAUUUGGAAUCCGGGGUAAGUUGAGCCCCCGAUACAUUGGACCGUAUGAGGUUCUGGAGCGUGUAGGCCCGGUAGCGUAUAGACUUGCUCUACCGCCGAACCUAUCGGGUGUACACAAUGUAUUCCAUGUAUCGGUCCUUCGGAAGUACAUCCACUACCCGGCUCAUGUUUUGGAUGCUACACCAGUGGAGCUGAGGGAUGAUCUGAGCUUUGAAGAGCAACCCUUGAGGAUUUUGGCUCGCGAGGUAAAGAGAUUGCGGAACCGAAAAAUUUCCUACGUGAAGGUGCUUUGGAGCAACCACGACAAGCGCGAGGCCACUUGGGAGUUGGAGAGCGCACUGCGGGAGCGCUAUCCCCAUCUUUUUCAGAUGGAGGCUUGAGGUACUUUGUCUUUUUCGAGUUUUGCGGACGAAACUCUUUUUUAGGAGGAGUGAAUGUAGCACACUGGACCUUUGCAAAUUGCGAGGUUCGAGUGUUCGAGCUGUGUUCUGAGUCCUUCCAGACUUUCUGGUGGGUCGUUGACAGUGUUCCGAUUUAUGGCCCGUAUCCCGAGAAUUGUGGUUUAAAGCUGUGUACCAAAACCCGAAAAAUCGGAUUCUUGGCCAGCUCUCGGGUAGCCUUCAGAGGGUCUUGUACCGGUACAAGGUUGGUGGUUGUACCGGUACAAGGUUGAUGGUUGUAUCAGUACCGCCACCGGGCUUGUACCGGUACAGAGCCGCGGAACCCCCCAGACCCGAGCCUCGGGUUGAAGCUUUUCGUGAGGCUUGUACCGGUACAAGGGCCCGUGUACCAGUACAAGGGCCCGUGUACCGGUACAAGGUGGCAGAAUUUGAGCAGUUUGAACUGCAGGGGUGUUUUUGCGAUUGUGGACCUCUUAUAUCAACACCCACGCCCCUAGGGCUUCCUCCUGAGCUUGCCACAGCAGGAAUAGAGGUAAGGGAGCCCUCCUUGAUUUUCUUUUUGUUUUUCUUGGAUUUUGGUGGGAUUUUAAGAGAUUAAACUCCUCUUUUUGCUCGUUGGUACAACUUCACCAUUGUUGAAGCUUGAAGCUUGGAUUUGGAGCCUUGUUGAGGGAAGAUCUUUGGACUUAGAGAGUUUAGAGCUUGGGUUGAAGCUUCUAAGAGGUAAGCAUCAUAUUCUCUCCCUCUAGAUUUGAUUUUUGUUGAUGGUUUUGAGAUAAAACCCUAAAAUGGAGACUUAGGGCUUAUUUUUGGGCAUUUUUGAUUUAGGGCUUUUGGGGCUAAAUUAAUUGGAUUAGAACCCUCUUUGGGUUGUAUUGGAAGGAUCCUAGCCUUCUUUUGGAGCUUGUGAGAGUUUUUCUACACAUUAGGUGAGUUUUAGCCCUUUUGCCUUGUUGGUUAAUGUUUGAUUUUAUAGUUGAUCGUGAUGCUCGAGUAUCUCUUCGCUCAAUACUUUUAGGGUAUUUUGAGACUCGUGGACAACUUCGUUCGGCGAAACGAGGCACUACGCGACGGUUCGAUAGGUUUGACCUAGCCAUACAAUGAGAAAAUCUCAUUUGUGAAGAUUUGAGUAUCGUUAAUUGAUAAAGCAUGUAUAUUCAUGUUAGAUAUAUUUAUUAUGAAUUUUAGAAUGCUUAACAUGCAUACAUUAUGUAUAGUAAAUUUUUGGACCUCUAUGUGAUAGGGUGCAUGCAUGUGGGACGUAGCAUUCUAGUGGAAACUUAGAACCAUGAUUCCUAUUAUGAAAAUGAACAUUGCUUUCUUGCAUUUAACCUUAUGCCUAAUUGUGACAUUAGGGACUUUGGAAGCCUAGAGAGGUUUGGGGACUUAGGCUAUUUGAGAUUUUGGGCCAAUGUCAUAAAGAGGCAUUGGGCCCCGGGCUAUAGUGAAUAUUGGUAUUAACGUCAUAUUUAGAACAUAGAACAUGAAUUGAGCUUGAUUAGUUGUGAUGCUUAAGUGUCAUAAAGAGGCACUAAGCAAGUGGUGUUGAGAUAUCACAUUGUGACAUAGAGCUAGACCGUUGGGUUACUAGUAGCUAUUGCCAUGUUUGAGACAUGAGGGUUGGAUACUUGAGCCUUUGACUAGGUUGCUUGCCAUUUGUGCUCAUUCGCACAUGUUUGUGAGGGUCGCUCCCUACAAGCUGGCACUCCGGAGUUAGCCUACGCGACUUAUGUUCGCUCGUGCGGUAUUGAGAAACCUACGGGGUCGAGUGGGACAGAUACAUUCCAAGAGUAGGAAUGUCGGGCUACCACAGGCACUUAGGCCGCACAAGCUGGACUACUUUGGGUAGGCCCUUAUUUGGAAAUGGAAAUCGACACAGUGUUGAGUGUGUUAUAAUCACUACUAGAUAGAGAUUAGUAGUUGGAUUACUUGGACUUACUUCUAGCAUAGUAUUGGACACUUGAGUACACAUACGUACAUGUAGUAUGUUAGGAGAUGUUGCUUAUUGCAUUCAUAUAUACAUUGUUGCCAUGAUAAAGCAUGAUCCUUAUAACUUCAUAAGUGAACUGUGACAUUUACUUGUAGCCAUGUAGAGACAUAUUGGUUAUGACAAAGUAAAGGUGCAUUAUUUUUCAACACCAUGCUUAAUUGCAAUAUAGUAGCUUAGCAUUUUAAUUAUGCUCUUAUAAAUACAGUUUAUUCAUUAUUAUUGCUGUUUGCCGUAGUUACCAUUUUCUUUUGGGGCCUAGUGGUGCAUUGAGCUGAGGUUAGUAAUUGCCCACUGGAAACUAUAAUUUAUAGUUCUCACGCCCUCUAUUCUAUGUUUUCUUUCAGAGCCUUCCACGCCGGGAGAGGCUAGGGACCGUGGGAAGUGCGUUGCUUCGAGCUAGCUCUUCAGCGAGGGACGAGUUGCUAGGUGGUUUACCUCUCGAUGUAUUUUAUUUUGGGAGAGGUUGAGAGCUGUACCAGUGUACUAGAGACCACCCUUUGUGUACUUUUGGGACAGAUAUUGUACUACCUUAUGGUUUACUUUUAUUGUUUAGUUGUAUCAUUUUACUUUUGUUAUAGAAAGUAGAAUCUUACUGCUCUGAUAUCAUUAGUUUUUGCUCUUUCCUUUCGGCUAUGUUUCUUGCUUUAUUUCCGCUGUUGACGUAGACACCUUAUAUGUGUUGGCAUAUGGCGGGUCUGGGCACACUACCGGCAGGGCCUCUGCCGGUCCCGGGGCGUGACAGUAUCUACACUAAACAUCCUAUAUGCAUAAGUAACCACAUAUGAGAACAUGAUCAAUAAUACAACUUAGACAUAACCGGAAGCCCAACUGCUUCGAGAUAACACCCCCCACCUUCUGGUGGUGCCACGAAGAUAAGGUUCGAAUUUCGCGAUCUUAGGACGCCGCCUCGGUUCUUUAAGCGAAAACGAAGCCGAAACGCCCUUUUUGCUAAUAUCUUUGCGCAGGCUCGACGGAUCGCCGAACCGUCUUCACCACCGUGUCCGACUACCUAGUAAAUAGGCACAAAAGAGAUCAAUCCCAACCUUGGAUCUCUACUUUACAAAACCUAUUUUAGAACCCUAGGUCGGAACUAUUGCAAGAAUCCGACGUAUAACUUCGCGAUUCAAGCAAUAAUCACCUACUUAGCAUCUAGGGGUUCUAUAAAAACCAUUUCUAAGGUAUAAAACAUCAGACCUAGAAAUCUACCAUUAAAGCUCCAUGAAGCUUACCUCAAAACCUCGCUCCAACAACGAGGAAGAAGAUGAAGAAGACGAAGAUCCGACGUCAACUUCAAUCUCCUUCAAUCCCUUCACUAACUUCCACCCUUGGGGGAGCUUCUAGAGAGAGAAAAGAAGAAAGAAAUGGUGAGGAGAGAGUUCACUGGCUGUGAACAAGAAAGGGGGAGUUGGGGCCCUUUUAUAAGCUGCCACAAUUAUAUAAAAGCCCCUCAAACAAUUCCAAAUUGCAACAGACCCAACCUGCAGUUUUCUGCAGUUGGUACCGGUACACGGGCAAUCUGUCACCGGUUCAACGAUUACGCAGCAGCAACCCGAGAGCAGCCCUUUUCGGUCAGCAGUCUGGUACCGGUACUAUUUUGGUCUAUCACCGAUUAACAGUUGUUGUGUGUCGAUCGUCCCGACCCUUGACCUAGUCAAAGAUCUUCUUCGGGAAGCGCGUCGGGGCUGAAAUGGCUCCGAAAGAUGACCCUCGAAGUGUGUGCCCUUUUACUGAACAAGCGAUUCGGCUGAUGAGGGAUCCAAUUAGCCAGGUCUGAAGAACUCUAUUCUCUCUUUGGUUCGGCCGGAUGAGCCGAAUGUAUGGGAAAAGUCGGAAACUCAACCAGGAGAUGAGCCGAACGGCUAACACAACACAAGAUCUGGCCGGUCUGAAGAGCCGAAAAUGACUUUCUAUUGAAUGAACCAGUAGAGAGUACAGGAAGAAAGGUUUUAGUCUACAACGGAGUGAUGCCCCGGGGGCAGACAGACUCCAGGAUCCUAAAUUACCAAGCUACUCCUAGAAAAAGCAGUAAAUGCAGGAAAGAAAGAUGCGGUAAAAUAAGGGUGGUCUUUUGUUCGCAAGGAAAAAAUACCCGUUUUUAGGGUGUUAUUACCCUAUUUAUAGAUCGCCCCCUUGAUCAGUUAUUGCUCUUACAUGAUCGGUCAUUAUCUCCUCAUAUUCCGGAUCACCUCCAGCCGAUCGGAACCGCAUGUAACUGCUUGCGGUUACUGUAACUUCCUUCAAUUGGCGCGAUUUAGUUUCCUUUAAACUUUUUCGGUGCUCCGAUACCCCGGGGGCAGACAGACUCCAGGAUUCUAAAUUACCAAGCUACUCCUAAAAAAAACGAUAAAUGCAGGAAAGAAAGAUGCGGUAAAAUAAGGGUGGUCUUUUGUUCGCAAGGAAAAAAUACCCCUUUUUAGGGCAUUAUUACCCUAUUUAUAGAUCGCCCCCUUGAUUAGUUAUUGCUCUUACACGAUCGGCCAUUAUCUCCUCAUAUUCCGGACCACCUCCAGCCAAUCGGAACCGCAUGUAACUGCUUGCGAUUACUGUAACUUCCUUCAAUUGACGCGAUUUAGUUUCCUUUAAACUUUUCCGGUGCUCCUGGUGCACGACCGAAUAAAUGCUUUUGAAGGGAAUACCAGCAUCCCACCUGUCCGCGCCUAAUUGGCUCAACAACAGCCUUGACAGAGGCUAACCCGAGAGCAACUCUGCUCUCGGUUUCUGUAGUGUACCGAUGACACCCCUGGGCUGUCACCGGUUCACAACGCUCCAGAUUUGAUUCUCGCAUUGUUACGACUCCAAUUCACGCCGAGCAAUGCUAAAACCUCUCUAACUCUUUUGGAACUCAAUUUUAACCCUUCCAACAUAGUUGGAAUGUCAAAUGGAACAUGUCCAAGCAUCCGUCUCGCCACACUUUGGUCACUUUGACCAAAAGUGGAUUAUUACUAUGAGGAUUCGAUAUCUUACAGUUGGGGUAGUCGUGUACUCUAAUAUUAACCAAAAUGGUGAAUACCUUGCAAUAUACACGCAUUAAACAUCCUGAGAAAACAUUUGGUACACUUAUAAUUUCAUAUAUUACUGCCAUGCCAUAUUUUGCGUAAUACUGAAUUGCUACUUGUCUCUACAUUUGGAACACCUACAGGUCAAAAUUGUGUAAUCUAAAUAAAAAACUAAUAUCGUUAACGGCCAUAUAACUGUUGGGAUAAAUCAGAGCCUAUGUAAACAUAGAUGAUACAGCUAUUCUCUGGAUCUGCAAAUUGUCUUCACCUUCUUGAGGUGUAGAAGUAUAGCAAGUGUUAACCUGCAUGACCAGAUCUACCACUGGCUCACACCAUUAUGAUUGUCUCCGUUAUAGUGAAAUAUGAUUGUGUUGUCUGACUUUACACAUGCGCAAGAAUCCAUAUGUAGAUGUUCUUUUAUUAUAUAUAGAGGGAAUUAAGUAUGAUGCCAAAUACCAUCAAAAUCUAUGUAAUACCGCAUCAUUGUGCAUCCUUAGGUCAUUCUCUAGCACUGUUUGAGGCAUCAAACUGUGCGCAUAUGUUAAUCUGCAUAAUGAGACUGCCUACUGGCUCACACUACUAUUAUAAUUUUAGUCUAUAUUUAUAGUGAAAUGUGUACCAGGAACCACUAUUGUAAUGUACCAACUUCUUGAUAUAAAGAUCAGUGUAAAUAAAAAUAGUGUGAGAUACUAUUUUUAUUGAACUUAAAGAAGUAAAAUAUAAGUCGAAAAUGACUUGUGCUGAAAUUGGAGUGGAAACAGAAGAUUUAGAAUUUUCUGUAAAAAACGGGGAUGAUCUUUUAGCAGAAAAUUCACAGUGUCAGAAAAUUAUGAAAACUUGAGAAUAUGUCGGAAUUACUUUUAUGAGGCUAGAUUUAAUGUUUCAUGUCAUUCUAACAACUGGAAGGUGGAAAAUAAAAUCUGACUGUGAUCUACUAGAGAUUUUAGUCGGUAGAAUUUUUGGUGACAAAAAAUGGUCCAAACUGAAAAGUUAAGAUAUCUUUCUUCUUAUUAGUUUAAACCGAGUCUGACUGUCAAAUUUGAGUGCAAACGGACAUUCAAAAGGGCUCCGACGAAAAGUAUCAGAUUCUGAACUGCUAAACUGAAAUUGUAAUAGUGUUGGGGGACAUAUAUAUAAACCCACACAACUCUCUCUCUCAUUGGUUUUCAUCGAGCACGAGAGGAGCUUGGAGAGGGGUUUUCUUUCUCUUUAAAUCACUCUCCCUCUACUCUCUAACACUUUUCUCUCCAUUCCUCUUGUAAUUUCUCCAUUAAAGAGAGGUUUGGAGGAGCUUAAGGUUGCUUGGUGGUGAAGCAAGCCUUGGGGAGAAGAAGCUUCAUGAAAGCAAAGGAUUCAAGGUGAGACUUCCUUAAAGUUGAGUUAGGAUUUUAGUUAAAUCCUUUAAAAGUUGUUGUAUUUAGGAUCUAUAUAUGAUUUUAAGCUAGUUUAAUGAAGGGUUUAUCAUGAUUAAUGAGAUUCUCUUGAGGAAAUGGAAACCUAGGGUUGAAAUUGGGGUUUUUGUCCCUAUGAGGUUUUGAAUUAAAUUGACCCUCUAAAUAUCUAAUUAAAGGUUAGAAGAGCACGCCCAACAACUUUAAUUAGGAUGCGUAGCGGCCUCGGCGAUCGAUCGAAGGAAACAAAUUGAUUCAUGAAGAUUUGAGUUCGUUAGCCUUAAAGCGCGGCGAAUCGUCAUUGGGAGCCCGAUUGCAAGUGACUACAAGCAAUCGAAGAGCGUUACGAGGUGGGUUGUGCUUCACCGAAGUGAUUAGGUCAUUUCUAAGCCAAAGUGAAGUAUAAAUGUUGUUGAUGCAUGUAAAAUUGGUAGGUUGUAUAUGAUAAUAUAAAUGUAUAAAUCAUAUUAUGCUUGAUGUUGUUACCUACCAUGAGAUGCUAUAUGAAUGCAUGAAGUAGAAGCUAAUCAAGAACGCAUGAGAUAGAUGCUAGUAAUGAACAUAUGAGAUGUAUGCGAAGUGGAUGCAUGAGCUAGAUGCUAAAUGAAUGCAUAGAGUAUAUGCUAAGUGAAUACAUGAACUAGAUGCUAAGUAAAUGCAUGAGUUAGAUUCUAAUUGUAAAUGCAUAAGAUAUAUACUAAGUGAAUGUAUGAGCUAGAUGCUAAAUGAAUGCAUGAGUUAAAUGCUAAAUGAAUGCAUUAGGUAGAUGCUAAUUGUAAAUGCAUAAGAUAUAUGCUAAGUGAAUGUAUGAGCUAGAUGCUAAAGAACGCAUGUGAGAGUUGCUAAAGAAUACGUGGGACAUAUGCUAAUAAAGAAUGUAUGAGUUGUAUGCCAAAUGUAUAUUGAUUACUAUUGUGAUAAGAACAUAGGCAUGUGUAGGAAAUGUUAGAGAAUAUAUGCAUGUUGACAUAACGUGAGAAAAUGCUAGGUUCAUACGAGUGUGAACUUGGGUCGAUAACUCUAGGUUGUUAGAGAAUUCGACAAGUGUGGCAUGUCAAUUAUGAUUCCUAGGUAUGGACAACUAGGAAAAUAAGAACAUGAGUGGCAAUGAAACCUAGUGUUAUUAAACAUAGGUGAUUCAUGAGUGGCAUUGAACCUAAAGUCAAAUGAACCUAGGUAGCAAGGAGCAAGGAACCUAGUAUUGUAGAACCUAGGCUAUGAGUAUAGUGGCAUUAAGCCUAAUGUUAUUAAAUUUAGGUUGAGGAGUGACUUGAACCUAGAAAGGUUGUCAACAUACGGUAAGACCAACCUUGAGAUAUGAAAGUGGAUUCCGGAAUCUCAGGACUUGUGAACUCGACAGUUCUUGGCCGCGGGUGCGUAUGGCAUAUUCCCCUCCCAUCGGAAGAACUUCGAGUAUAGGCUUAUGGAUGAUUCUUGGCCGCGGGGGCUGUGUGGCAUAUUCCCUUCCCACCGGAAGAAUCUUGGAGCGCUAGGGUGUAUGUGGCAUGUUCCUCUCCCUAUCGGGGAUCUUGGGCCGCGGGUGUGUGUGGCAUAUUCCUCUCCCACCGGAAAGAUCCCUAACCACGGGUGUGCGCUGCUCUGAGCGACCCGUUGGGCGACGUGGUUUGUGGAAUGGUGGCUGAGGUGCAUGUGAGAGUUCCUUCACCUGGAGCUGGACAGAGCGCGGAUUAUUUGCAGUCGAUUGACUCAAGACCGAGUCGAGUGGCAUAGUUGGCUAAGGUAAAGGUAACCUUAGGAAAGAAUGACAAAUGAGUAUAAUAUGGCUAAGGUGGGAGUACCCUCAGUGAAGAAUAAAGAUUAGCUAAGAAUAAUAAAAAAAGUCAAAGAAUAAAGAAUUGCUAAUAAUAUAAAGAAUGGCAAAUGAUAGAGAGUAGAAUCAAUUGAUCUACUUGCAUAGUUGCAUGAUUUGCAUAGUUGCAUAUUGUGGGGCAUGAACAUGAUAAUUGCUAGUCGCAUAAAUUAUAUAUCUGUGAAUAUUUGUUGGACUAACAUAUUUGCAGUGCCUCCUUUGGACCUGGUGGGUCGAGCUCUUCCCUUGGGUGACCGUACCCACUGGGAACUAUGGACAAUAGUUCUCACCCCACAUUAUUUUGGGGGUUUCAGGUUCACACGCGAGUUGCGCGGCGGCGCGAGGAAAGGGCGCAGCUCCAUAGAUAGCGCCCUACCACUGAGACUAGAGAUAGCGGUACCCUGAGUCGACUACUUAGGGAUGUGAAAAAGGAAAAAAAAUCAAGUUGUAAUAAUUAUGUUAAAUGGGAUUGUAUUUGGAACUUAACAAGAGUUGAAAAUGUAAUAUGUAAAAUGUAUGUAUGUUGGAUGCUUGUAAUAGCAUAGCGUUUAUGUUUUUGAUACCUUCCUUAUGCAAUCUUUGUUUGAAUGCUGUUCCUGGUUGAAACCUCGCGCAUUGUAUGAUUGUGACGUCUUGGACGUACAGGGGAGACUCUGUCCGCGAUACAGGGGAAACCCUGUCCGUUCGGCGGUAUGUUGGCGUGCCCGAAUCCGACCAAAUAGGUGGGGCUCGGGGCGUGACAACUAUAGUCAAUCCAUUUCCAUAAGAAUAAGCCGUGAAGUAUCGUGUACCGUGCAGAGGUAUUCACCAUCCCAACAUCUUUUUGAGUGUUGAUAGUGUUAUAUCAAAUAUGACAAAUUCGUUUUGACCUGAAGGUGUAUUUAUACUAGUAUGCUACUUUUUGUAUACCCAUCUAGCAUAUAGGUACACUAAUACAGAAGUAAAGCACAAUAUUUAAGGACUUGCCCUGCAUGCCUAAAAGCGACAGCUAUAGAUUAACCGGUGCACACCUUUAAAAUUAUAGCAAGUACCUAAAUAAAUUAGUGACAUGUCUUCUCUUGCAAGUCAGUACAUACUUUGACUUGAUUCAUCCCGCAGGUGCUGACAGUGGGUGUCUCAUAUAUGUAGAUUCUACUAUUACAUGUCGGUAAUAUUACUUAAUGCCUGACUUAUGAAUAAUCUGCAUGAUAAGACAUGUCAAUUUCCUUUAGUAUUGUCUUUUGAGUUGGUAAAGGUGUACCUUAGUCCACCAGAGGUAUUCCAUUGGACAUUAAGAUAGGAAUGCACGGACAGACCUUCAUAAUUUAUUAAUAUAGCUAGCACUGUAUAAUGGGUAGGGGUGGAAACGAGCCGAGCUCGAGCGAGCUUACCUCAGCUCAAACUUGGCUUGAAGUUAUUUUCGAGCCUAAAUUUAGGCUCAAGCUUCGCUUGAAAUUAAUUCGAGCCGAGCUCGAGCGAGCCUAACUUCGAGUCGAGCGAGCUCGAGCCCUAAAUGAGCCGCUUAAAAUUCUUAACAUCAUGCAAUCUAUAAUUUAAUUUUUAUAAAACAUUAUGUAAAAUUUGAUACAAAAUGUCACGCCCCGGGACCGGCGGAGGCCCUCCCGGUANGACGAGUAGCUAUAAUUCUAAAGCUAAUACAAAAUAGUUGGGGAAGGGCUGGUUAAGUAGAGCUUCAGAGUAUUUUCAUCAUAAGCUGUAAGCUUUUACAACUAUGGGAGAUAGUCCUACGGGGGCGUUAUACAGGUAUUAAUCAACCACUGAUCACUUGCCAGAUCACGCUGUACCAGAGAAUAUGUUCCAUAAAACUUUGAGUUUCUGUGGAAGCAACUAUUUGUAUUGAACGUGGAGUAGGGUUAUUAGAAGGAGAAGUAGAUUCUUACGGUACUCUAAGCGGUGUCAACCUCUAGAUUUUUGAGCUGCUAACUAAUUGACUCAGUAGUGAUGUUAGGUUGUUUUUUUAUUUUUCGUUAAAAAUCUUUCUUACUUGUAAGAUUAUACGUACAAUUAAAUGUGUUAGAUUUUUACGACCUAAUACUUCACCGUUAAAGCUAAAGUCUACCGAGUCUACAUUUUUCCAAAUCUUAUUUUGACACCGACAUCACCCUAACCAGGUAAGAAGGGAUGGUAAAUGUAGAUGAUGGGAAAAUACGUAGUAACAGCUUUGUUUUUACACUAUACUUAUACGACGUAUUUCUCUUCGUUACCUGUUUUAUGAUGAUAAUCAAGGUUUACCAAUUCUUUAACAUUAAUAUUAUCCUUUUUUUACACGACGAUAGUCAAAGUAUACCAAUUCUUUUACGUUAGUAUUUUCAGGUAACUACAUUCGAUCGAAAGUUCACAUUCCCAAACGUUAUUUUACAAUAACCGUUGACGUCACCAGACAGGGACGGAGGUAUGGUAAAUAUUGUGGUAUAGUAACUGAUUUGAUGUUAAAUUAUGUUUUUUACGACGUAUUAAUCGUUAUCGUUACGAAUUUCUCGUUAUUGUAUCUAUGUAUUUCUCGUUCUUAUCACGGAGAACUAUACGACAGUAGUUAGUAAGAAUCAAAAGUUUCACGUUAUUAUAUCCACGUAUAUCACGUCCUUUUUUCUAAUAUACGACAGUAGUUAAGUAAUUUCUCUUUGACGUACUCAUAUCAAGGUAAAUUUCGUCUUGUAUUUUUUCUUUUUUAUACAACGGUAGUAAAGGUGUCUCUAUCUCUUGACCUUCAUAUUUCCAGUACAAUAAAUUCGUCCUAAUUCUCACUUUCCCAAAUUUUAUUUUACCACCGACGUUAUCAUCAGUAGGGAUGAAGGUUGGUAAAUGUAUUUUUCGUCCUUGUUACGGAGAACUAUAGCACGGUAGUUUAUAUCUAUCAAAUGUUUGACGUGUUUAUAUCUACGAAUUUAUCGUCCUUGUUUUUUAAUAUACGAUGGUAGUUAAGUUCUAAAAUUUAUAUUGAUAUAAUAUGUAAGUAUUCGUUUCAAUGUCUCCUUUUUAUACGACGGUAAUUAGGAAUUAGUCACGUUUUUGAUGUUAUAAUAUUCGGGGUAGCCAAGAUUAAUUAAAUUUUAUCGUUAUUAAUCAAAAAUUUGUCGUCCUAUAAUGAUAAAAUUUGUCACUUCAUUGUAGCAAGGUAUGUAAACUCAAAGGUUGAUGUAACUGGUAUUUAUCAUGCUAUUUCCUAUUGUAUUCGACGAUAGUUAAGAUGUAUCUAAUCUUUAUCGGUAUUAUAUCCUUUGAUUUUCUGGUAUUUAUAUCAUCAAAUCUAUGUUUUUUCCCGCUUUGUCAUCCUUGCAUUAAGUAUAUCCGGAACGAUUGGUGUAUCUUUUGGGUUUUAUAUAGUUCAAACACACGUUCCGGCGUUUUUGGUCCACCGUCUAAUUUCUAUAAAUAGAUCAAUCCUCCCUUCCUCCCACGCAGUCCGUACAAAGGUCACCGGUCGGCAACGUACUGGUGAACUGCCAGUUAGGUGUAUAUGUUUUAUAGAGGUGAGUAUCUGUACUUGUAACUGGAUAACGCGAGUAGGAACUUUCGCAGUGUACGUCUCUCCUAUCGAAGUUCUCUAUCUGGCCCUUACAAUAAAUCAGAAUGGUAUGUGAGGAGAUACCUCACUUCAAAACCUGUUCGCAGUUAGAGUGCGACAUCGUUAGCGAGUCGAUACAAGUUAGAAAAAAACGGUUCGAGUUGGUUGAGAACGUAUGUUAGUCUCAACAAAAGUUAAAAAGGAAAUGCCCAACUACAGCCACAUCAGAAUGCACUGCCUCCACUCCUUGCUGCAGAGAAUGGUCUUCUUCAUACUCGUCUUCGUGAUCAUUACACGCCUAAAGGUGAGAAUUGACCCCAACCUCACCCUCUUAUACUUCAACGUAGUAACUACGGUAGAAGUAAAACGCCGCUGUAACGGUACCCAUUAACCACCGAUGGUCUUCAAACGGGUACAGGACUUCCUGGCCGGUACCUAAAAGACUAAACGAGAUUUUACCGCCAACACGGGCCCCUACUACUACUGUACGAUGCUUGUAGGAGUGAAACGUAAGGUCAGCAUUUAGGUACGGAUGGGCAUCGUCACCAGAAAGGUCUAUUCUUGAGUUACAGGAAUAUACGUCCCUUGCCAAACAGGGAUGUGAAUCGUAUUCGACUUAAAAGAACAUUGUUAUAUUUUGUGUUACCAGUUGACUCUUUUGAUAUUAAUAUAUUUUUAAUUUUAAAGUUCUAUUAACCAAGUUGUUGUAUGGCGAUGGUGAUGUAAGGUUAGUGAAUCCAGCGGACGACAACCUUACAACGCUAGUAUUAGGGUUGGGGUAGGUGAGAAUAAUCGAUUACAAACUAUGUACUGCUUAACAGCGAAGUUGUGAAAAUCAGCUAAAACAUUUACCGAAAAUUGUUUCAAACGAAAACAAGCGUCCAACUUUAGUACUUAAUAAGAAGGGGUUCGUUCACCUCAUUUUGAAGGUAACUGCUUUAAAGGUUCUUGUACAAGAAGACAGUAGUUCAAGUUGUAACGGCUUAGGUACUGGAAACAGGUUAAAGGUCUCGCAUGAGACCCAAAGCUCUAAAGGACUGACACCGAAACCUCCGAAACCGAUAGUCAACUCCACUGUAGUUAUUGCAAAUACAAAACAGAAUGUUUUGCUACUUGAACAGAUAAAACUCCAUCGUAGACUUCAAUUAGUUGUAUAUUUAUUUAUUUAUUUAAUUGUUCAGCAGCACUUCAUGUCGAAUAUCAUUCAAUUGUACCGAAUCUUCUUUCCCCUAUUACUACUAGUGCCACCGACGUUACGCUUUUUGUACGGUGGGUUGGUACUUCAAGAUCAAAGAAUGGGUACGUAGUAGCAGAGUAAAAUACAGUUUAUUCCGUAGGUUGUUCCGUUGUCUCUUUCGUGGUGGUAAAGUGUUAUGGAGGUUCUAGUAUACGUAACUCAUGUACAAGUAGUCGUCUAUGACUAUUAAGGGUCACAAGUCGAUAUAUAUCUUGUACCAAUAAGGUCAAAAAAUUGACACAUCUUAACUACCGUCGUAUAGAAAUAAAAACAGGACGAUAAAUACUUGGAUAUAAUAACGUGAAACUUAUCUGGGUAUGUUUACUACCGGAUAGGUCUCUCGGAUUUAUUUUACGUUAUCCUUCUGUUUCUUUGUAUUAUAUUUAUCGUACGUUUUAAUAUAUUUUGUUGUUGGAACAGAAAGUUGUUAUAAUAAAUGAUAAUAAAUUUCAUCCGUGUAAUAUAAUGUCUUUAAUUCUUUUUAGACUACCAAAUGGAUUUUUAGAUUAAUAAAUUUUAGUUGAUAAUACUUGAAAAGUCGUAUUAUCAACAUUUUUUACUUAUUCUUUAUUUCAUUAUUCUGCUUAGAUCAUCUUUGGUUCUCUUUUCGUUCUGCAUUCUCAUCUACUUAAAAGCCGGUAUUAAUUAUGUGAGUUUGACUUCGAAAUGUUAACUUUAUUUUAUUAUUAUCCUUAGUUGUGUAUUUAUAUUUACCUCGUUAGUGAGUUGUACUUACUUAGCAGGAUACAUAACUUAACCAUCGACGUAUCCUGAUUAGGGUAUACGGAGGUUUAGUGUUAUGUAGACUUAAGUUUUUACGAAGUGACGAACAAUUAUCCUAUGUAGAGCAAGGGUAAGUUCCGGGUCGUAAUAGUUUCAAUCCGGUGUUCAAUGUAGUUUGAUCUAUUUUUUUUUGGGUGGAAACAUUCUAGUUCCUCGCGUUUAUGCUAAUUGAUAAGUCUACUCGUGUCACUUCCCAUCUCAAAGGAGUUGGUGUCUUAAAAACUCCCCAAACGUAGAGUGGGACCACGUAUGAUAAAUAUCCCUUCUUCAGUCCUGAAUGAUACAAUCCAUCCUCUUUUAUUCACAUCAAUUACCUCUGCUGAGCUGUUGAGCUUGAUUGUCGUUCUAGCCUCUUCUAUAGAAAGACAACACGUCGGUUCUCUCUAACGGAAUUAAUUACCGGCUAGAUGCGUCCCUUGGCUCGAAAACUUUUGUUAUCUACGCAUCCUCUGUAACGAAGUCCUCAUUUUCGUUUGGUGAGGUUAUUUAUCCCAAAACCCCGUCACUUCUUCUGCUAUUUAUCCCAGAAACCCCGCCACUUCUUCUACUGCGAUAGAAACCAUCCGCGCUCCGUCAUUUUUCCUUUUUUUUUCUUUACAAGCGGAUCCCUUCUCUUCUUCUCAUCCCUCUCCCCAUAUCUAUCCACGCUCCUUUUUCAUUUCUUCUUAGUGUUCUCCUUCUUCUGCUGCGUCGAAGAGCUCUUUUUCUACUUCUGCUUCUACCCCGUCCACGUUCUCAUUUCCCCGCUAUGCUUGCUCCGUUUCGUCGUUUUAUUUUAUCUUAAAGGGUAGGGACGGGGACCCUGUUUUAGAUUAAGGUCCCCACCCCCCCUUAAUUAGAAUUGCCCAAUAAGGUCAAAAAAGACCUUAUUGGGCGAAACUGGCCAUAUUCGAUAAGGACAGAAAAAAAAAACAAACCAUCUUAUAUAUCCUAUUUUAUGAAAUAGGAGACCAAUAAGAUAAUGGUUUGUAUCGGAAUACCAUAUUUUCACAAGAUUUGGGUUUUUGACUAUCGUCACAAGAUAAUUCGAAAUGCUUACAAGAUAAUUCAGUAUUCUCCCAUUCUAACGUUACGUAUAUACAAGCGUUGACGUUUGGACUAUUUUCACAAGAUAAUUCGAGAUUCUCAUAAGAUAAGAUGAUACUGUUUUCUCACAAGUGUUGGUGUUUUGAUAAUUCUCACAAGAUAAUUAGAAAUGUUGACAAGAUAAUACCGUGUUUUCACAAGAUAAGAUGAUACUGUUUUCUCACAAGUGUUGGUAUUUCGAUAAUUCUCACAAGAUAAUUAGAAAUGUUGACAAAAUAAUACCGUAUUUUCAUAAGAUAAGAUAUUACUGUUUUCUCACAGGUGUUCAUAUUUUGAUAAUUCUCACAAGAUAAUUGGAAAUGUUGACAAGAUAAUACCGUUAUUUCACAAGAUAAGAUGAUACUGUUUUCUCACAAGUGUUGGUAUUUCGAUAAUUGUCACAAGAUAAUUAGAAAUGUUAAUAAGAUAAUAGCGUAUUUUCACAAGAUUUGGGUUUUUGACUAUCGUCACAAGAUAAUUCGAAAUGCUUACAAGAUAAUUCAGUAUUCUCCCAUUCUAACGUUACGUAUAUACAAGCGUUGACGUUUGGACUAUUUUCACAAUAUAAUUCGAGAUUCUCACAAGAUAAGAUGAUACUGUUUUUCUAAUAAGUGUUGGUAUUUCGAUAAUUCUCACAAGAUAAUUGGAAAUGUUGACAAGAUAAUACUGUAUUUACACAAGAUAAGAUAAUACUAUUUUCUCACAAGUGUUGGUAUUUCGAUAAUUCUCACAAGAUAAUUGGAAAUGUUAAUAAGAUAAUACCGUAUUUUCGCAAGAUUUCGAAUUUUGACUAUCGUCACAAGAUAAUUCGAAAUUUUUAUAAGAUAAUUCAGUAUUCUCCCAUUCUAACGUUACGUAUAUACAAGCGUUGAUAUGUAGACUAUUUUCACAAGAUAAUUCGGGAUCUUUACAAGAUGAUACUGUUUACUCACAAGUGUUGGUAUUUCGAUUAUUCUCACAAGAUAAUUCGACAUUCAUACAAGAAAAUACCGUAUUCUCACAGUCUAACAGUUCGUAUGUACAAACGUUUGUGUUUAAAAUAUUCUCACAAGAUGAUUCUCACAAGAAUAUUCGAGAUUCUCAUUUGGGAAAUACCGUAUUCUCACUGUUUAACAUUGCGUAUGUACGAGUGUCGGUUGAUAUGUGCUUAUGUUUGUUUAAUUAAUAAUUAUGUUUAUAUGUUCAUACGUAUUCUCUUAUAUGAUCAUUGGGGUUUGUAUAAAAGAUAUGGAAAGACGUAUGAUCAUUGCGAUUUAUACAAAAGGUAGUAUUUGAUUCGUUUUAAAAUACUUUACGUACUUUAUAUACACACAAUGACACCUGCGUAGAAGAUUUGGGAUUUGGGAUUAAGAUUAGUAUUUAUGAAAUAAAAAUGUUUACGUUAUUUUUUAUAUUAUAUGGUCGUCACAGGAUUUUUAUUUUAAUUAGUCGAUCAGCCACUGCUUUAGGCCUCGUGCAUUUCUGUUUGGGUUGGACGUUGGGAUUUGGGAGUUUUAUAUCUUAAAUAUAAUUUAAAUUUUAAAAUUUAUUUUCUAAUAUCUUUAAGUUUUUAUUACGGGACAAACUCAACUUAGGAGACAAGCCAACAACGGCUUAAUCGAGGCUUUAGCAAAAGUUAAAACCUGCGUGUACUCACGUCCUUACUCACUGUCCAUGACCCUACUUAUCCCCUCGUUAACUCUCCGUUAGAGGAUGGUUACCUCUCUCCGCUCCCGCUCUCUGUGGAAGCUCUGCCGAAACCUGUGCUCUACACACCUUGCUCACGACGGAUUGAAAACGGGCUACCUCAACUCACGGGACGGUCACUCUCGCUCUCUUUCUCUCUCCCUUCUCGCGCUCUAGUUCUCUCUCCGCUCCCUCACUCUCUCUCUCGCUCUUUGCCUCUCUCGCUCUUAUUCCACACGCCCUCUCUCUCUCUCUCUACACAUGAUCUUCCCAUAUCGAAAUCCUUCUUUAUUUUUCCCCUCACUUCAAUCGACGAUGAUGACACGAUCACGGGAUUAUAGUCGGCAACCUAGUAUGCCCACAUCCUACAUGUGGAAAGAUUUCAUCAGACCGAUCUCAAAAGGAUAAAAUAUCAAUAUAUUAAAUAAAUUAAAUAUAAAAAUAUAUAUUUAUUUAUUAAUAUAUAUUAUAUAUAAAAAUAAUAAAUUAAAAAUCGUUUUAUUUUUAUAUUUACGCUCGAAUUAAUAAUUUUUUAUGUACAUUUCAAAGUUAAUAAUCUAGUUUCAGAUUACCUAUUCUAAAAUAUUUAAAUAAAAAAUAUAUAUAAAUUAGAUUAAAAAAAAUUAAAUAACAAGCAACCGGUCGAGCACUCGGUCGACCAUAAGCCGAGCAAUUAUUUGCUCAACUUGUGCUCGAUUUAAAAAGCCGAGCUAUGAAAUUGUUCGAUUAAGCACAAGAUGAGCAAAUUAUUUGCUCGGCUUGUUUUCGGUUGGGUCGGGCGAGCACAAGCAGAGCAAAUGUGGGGAUGGACGUUCCGACGUUGCGACGACCAGCAACCGAGCCCUGUAAUCUUGUUCGUCGUCAAAGGGGCUUCUGGUGAACGUUUCAGAUUUCGGGUGCAUUUUGGGGGGUGUUCAUUUGGGGAGCUAGGUCAGGAGGGAGCUAGAGAAGGUUACGGCGGGUGAGAGGGAGAAGUGGCGGCGGCGGAGGAGGAGGGCAGGGUGGUGAUGCCACUGGUUUAGGCGUGGAAGCAGCUGCGGGCGCACUUCACCCACGCCCUGGCGCGGGAGCUGGUGCGGCACCUCUUCCUUUUCGUGGAGGUUGGGAAGGUGCGGGAGUUUCUGGAGGAGGAGGAGAGGCGGCGUAGGAGGAGAGGAAGAGGAAGAGGCAGAGGCAGGGAGGGGGAGAGGAGGCAGCGGCGCGCGGCGAGGCUAGAGGCGGAGGGGAAGGCGCGGUAGGCGAAGUAGGCGGAGAAGGGGAGGCGGAAGGAGCUUCUGGAGGGGAGCAGCAGCAGCAGGAGGAGAGCAGGGGUGGGGCAGUAGGCGGUUUUAUAAAACAUUAUGUAAAAUUUGAUACAAAAUGUCACGCCCCGGGACCGGCGGAGGCCCUCCCGGUAGCGUGCCCAGACCCGCCAUAUGUCUACACAUAUAAGGCGUCUACAAUAAAAGCGGAAGUAAAAGCAAGUAAUAGAACAAAUAGAAGAAGUGAAAUAAUGAGCAGCUAAUGAUAUCAGAGCGAGUAAAGUUCUAACAUCUACACCAAGGUAAAAAAGAAUAAAGCUAGACAAUAAAAGAAAUCAUAAGUAGUACAAUAUCUGUCCCAAAAGUACAAAAACGGUGGUCUCUAAUACACUGGUAGAACUCUCAACCUCUCGCAAAAGGAACAAAAAAUCGAGAGGUAGACCACCUAGCAACUCGUCCUCGAAGGAAGCUAGCUCGAAGCAACUCCCUUCCCGCGAUUCCUGGCCUCACCCUGAGUGGAAGGCUCUGAAAAACAUCGAGAAAAAGAGGGCAUGAGAACUAUAAUUUAUAAUUCCCAGUGGGCAAUUACUGACCUCAGCUCAAUGCACCACUAGGCCCCAAAAGAAGAGGGUAAGUACAAUAAUAAUAGCAAUAAAUAGCGAACACGAAACUGCUGAAGGAAGCAUGAAUGAAAUGCUAUGCUACUAUGUCUCCAAUAAGCAUGAUGUUAUGGUAAUGUACAUCUACGCUAUCAUAAGGUAAUAUAUAUCCGAUGCAUACUAAUAUGUCUCAACAUAAAAAGCAAGUAAACCUCACGAUGCCAUAUGUCAAUGCAUAAGGGUAAACUUUAUCCAAACAACCGAGUAUGCUACGAUGCGAUAAUGAAACCGGCAAGUAUACUAAAUGUACCAAUGCUAUAUCAUAAGCGUGUCCAAGUAAUCCAACUACUAAUCCUAUCUAGUAGUGAUUGUUCAUAUUCAACACCGUGUCGAUUUCCAUUUCCAAUUAAGGACCUACCAAAGGUAGUCCAGCUUGUGCCGCCUAAGUGCCUGUGGUAGCCCGACAUUCCUACUCUUGGAAUGUGUCUGUCCCACUCGGCCCCGUAGGCUUCUCAAUACCGCACGAGCGAACGUAGUCGCGUAGGCUAACUCCGGAGUGCCGGCUUGUAGGGAGCGACCCUCACAAGCAUGUGCGAAUGAGCACAAAUGGCAAGCAAGCAUGGUCCAAGUCUCAAGUAUCCAAUUCUCAUGUCUCUAACAUGGUAUAGUCACUAGCAUCCCGAAGACCUAGUUUAAGUCACAAUGUGAAAUUUCAACAUUUGCUACGCCUAGUGCCCCUUGAUGACACUUAGGCAAUUUGAUGUUCGACAUGUUUUCCAAAUCCCUCAAUGGCCCUAUCCACUAAAUUCACACAAGUCCUGAGCUCAAUGCCGCUUGAUGACAUUAGCUCUCCAAUUCACAUGAUAUCAAGUUCGAUGCCUACAUAUGAAGCAAUUGUCAUCUUUCAUGUCUCAAUUAAACUUAUGUUUAAACGCAUGAAUCAUAGCUCAUUUACUCUCUAGAACCAUGAAAUCAAACCCCAUAUAGAAUGCUAAAUGCAACCCAAGAUCUCCCAAACAACUCUCUACUACAUAGAGGUCCAAAGAUACAUCAUAUAUAACAUAUGCAUUUUAAGCAUUCUAAAAAUCAUAAUAAAUACAUUUAAUAUGAAAAUGCAUGAAUUAAUUAGUAACAAAGCACUUAUCACCAAAUAUGAGAUUUUCUCAUAUCAAAGGCUAGGUCAAACCCACCGACGACAACGAAGCUUUUCGUUUGCUCCAACGGAGGUUUCCACAAGCUUUCUAGCACCCUAAGAACAUCAAAAAGGGUGUCAUCCAAUCGAUACGAAGAGUAAUAAGCUCGAUCUUUAACCUAGGAGCAAAAAGGGUCAAACUCACCUCAAGAGUAGAAAUCUUCUCUUAAGCUCCAAAAGAGAGCUAGGGUUCAACCAAUCCAAGCCCAAGGAAGGUUCUAAACCCACCAAUCUAG
rnacentral:lncRNA from 1 species